UCGGGGUGAGCGGCGGACGGGUUAGUAACGCGUGGGAACGUACCCUUCUCUACGGAAUAGCCAUUGGAAACGAUGAGUAAUACCGUAUACGCCCUUUGGGGGAAAGAUUUAUCGGAGAAAGAUCGGCCCGCGUUAGAUUAGAUAGUUGGUGGGGUAAUGGCCUACCAAGUCUACGAUGGUUAGCUGGUCUGAGAGGAUGAUCAGCCACACUGGGACUGAGACACGGCCCAGACUCC
rnacentral:rRNA from 1 species